UAUACCUAGUAUUUUUGUAGAGGCUGUUUAUUUCCCCAAUUCCGAAUGAUGAAAAUAAACCUCGAAUUCCAUAUCUCUUAUGCCCAAACUUUAAAACAAUGAAAACCAAGAUUCACCUAGAAAUGCGAUACAAUGCUCUCUGAAGUUUUAGAUAAAAUUAAAAUUACUAAGGAAAAAGGAAAGAAAAAGAGAAAUCAGGGCUACGAAAAUAUCUAGUCUAGUCUCUUUCCAGCCCUCAGGCCAGCAUUAUCCCUUUCUGGAUUCCUUUCAACGGCUCUGGUGAAGGGAGGGCGAAAUAUCUGAAAUAGAUGUCAGCUCGGGAAGUGAUUUCCAGAAAGGUGCAGAUGAAGUUCAAUAACAAAGGAACUGGUUGGAAAGAUGGUUCCACAACGCAUGGAAGGACAAACAUUCACGGUUCUAGGUGGAAUCCAAAGAUGAAUGGAAUAAGAAAGGACUUAUACUCCAUCAAGACAUUCAAGAAGAUUAAGUCAUACAAGGAUGAAAGGCUCUACAUCGACCUUGGAUUUCUUUUGGAAAUCCAAAAUCAAAAGAAAGAACUUCUCAAUAUGGAGGAUUGUUCAAGAAGCACAAGAUCAAAGUGAAGAUGAGGAUUAGUUCGAACAUAAAGAAAACUUUAGAAUGAUAGUGAACACAAAAGAUUCCACACCAAGGAACGAUAAGUUCAAUGAAGAAAAUGUUCUAAUCAUCUUGAAUUUUCUUCGGAAAUCCAAGAGUAAGGUAUCAACAUUUCUUCAUGACAAGGAAUUAAAUCUGCAAGGCAAGCUAAGGUGGCAUCCCAAUCAUCAAUCAACCAUUUCAAGGGUUCCAAGUCAAACACGUCCAUGUGCAAUGAACCAGACUCAACAAGUGGAAGAUAUUAAAUUUUCUCAGUGGCCAAAAGGAGUUUUGUUGCAAUUAACCCUAAUUAGGGUUUUAUUUGUUAAUUUGGGCCAUUGCUUUGUAAUCAAGUGCCUAUAUAAACACUCCUUAUUUCAUUUAUUUCAUAUGAGAGAUUUCUAAGAAAUAGUUGUAGUGAUACUUCUUAAGUGCUAAGACAUAAUUCAUUGUUCAAUUGUUGGUUAA